rnacentral:rRNA from 1 species
CCUACGGGAGGCAGCAGUAGGGAAUCUUCCACAAUGGGCGAAAGCCUGAUGGAGCAACGCCGCGUGGGUGAAGAAGGUCUUCGGAUCGUAAAACCCUGUUGUUAGAGAAGAAAGUGCGUGAGAGUACCUGUUCACGUUUCGACGGUAUCUAACCAGACAGCCACGGCUAACUACGUGCCAGCAGCCGUGGUAAUACGUAGGUGGCAAGCGUUUUCCGGAUUUAUUGGGCGUAAAGGGAACGCAGGCGGGCGUUUAAGUCUGAUGUGAAAGCCUUCGGCUUAACCGGAGUAGUGCAUUGGAGACUGGGAGACUUGAGUGCGGAAGAGGAGAAUGGAACUCCAUGUGUAGCGGUGAAAUGCGUAGAUAUAUGGAAGAACACCAGUGGCGAAAGCGGCUCUCUGGGCUGUAACUGACGCUGAGGUUCGAAAGCGUGGGUAGCAAACAGGAUUAGAUACCCUAGUAGUC